AAUUAUUAGCGAAUCGACUAGCACUCUUUACGUUAUAAAAAAAACCUGCCCGAAAGCAGGUUUUUUUUAUUU
rnacentral:ncRNA from 27 species